rnacentral:rRNA from 1 species
CAAUAAGCGGAGGAAAAGAAACCAACAGGGAUUGCCCUAGUAACGGCGAGUGAAGCGGCAACAGCUCAAAUUUGAAAUCUGGCGCAAGCCCGAGUUGUAAUUUGUAGAGGAUGCUUCUGGGUAGCGACCGGUCUAAGUUCCUUGGAACAGGACGUCAGAGAGGGUGAGAAUCCCGUAUGUGACCGGCCCGCACCCUUUACGUAGCUCCUUCGACGAGUCGAGUUGUUUGGGAAUGCAGCUCUAAAUGGGAGGUAAAUUUCUUCUAAAGCUAAAUACCGGCCAGAGACCGAUAGCGCACAAGUAGAGUGAUCGAAAGAUGAAAAGUACUUUGGAAAGAGAGUUAAAAAGCACGUGAAAUUGUUGAAAGGGAAGCGCCUGCAAUCAGACUUCGCGGCAGUGUUCCGCCGGCCUUCUGGCCGGUUUAUUCUCUGUCGCGAGGCCAUCAUCGUCUCGGCCCGCUGGAUAAGACCUUGGGAAUGUAGCUCACCUUCGGGGGAGUGUUAUAGCUCAUGGUGAUGCAGCGAGGCUGGGGCGAGGUCCGCGCUUCGGCAAGGAUGAUGGCGUAAUGGUUGUCGGCGGCCCGUCUUGAAACACGGACCAAGGAGUCUAACAUCUAUGCGAGUGUUCGGGUGUCAAACCCCUACGCGUAAUGAAAGUGAACGGAGGUGGGAACCGCAAGGUGCACCAUCGACCGAUCCUGAUGUCCUCGGAUGGAUUUGAGUAAGAGCAUAGCUGUUGGGACCCGAAAGAUGGUGAACUAUGCCUGAAUAGGGUGAAGCCAGAGGAAACUCUGGUGGAGGCUCGCAGCGGUUCUGACGUGCAAAUCGAUCGUCAAAUUUGGGUAUAGGGGCGAAAGACUAAUCGAACCAUCUAGUAGCUGGUCUG